rnacentral:rRNA from 1 species
CCCUUAGAUGUUCUGGGCCGCCCGCGUGCUACACUGAGUGGAUCAGCGGGUCAGGUUGCGCGAAAGUGUUUCCUAAUCUUUAAAUCCGCUCGUGAUGGGGAUUGACGGUUGCAAUUUUCCGUCAUGAACGAGGAAUACCUUGUAAGCGCGGGUCAUCAUCCCGCGCUGAAUACGUCCCUGCCCUUUGUACACACCGCCCGUCGCUCCUACCGAUUGAGUGGUCCGGUGAGGCUUUGGGAUCUGAGCGGAAAGAGCGUUUCGCUGUUUCUGCCCGGAAAACUCAGUCGAACCUUAUCAUUUAGAGGAAGGAGAAGUCGUAACA